rnacentral:lncRNA from 1 species
UUCCAGGGGGAGUUGGUGGAGUUCCAGGUGGAGUUGGUGGAGUUCCAGGAGGAGUUGGUGGAUUUCCAGGGGGAGUUGGUGGAGUUCCAGGAGGAGUUGGUGGAGUUCCAGGUGGAGUUGGUGGAGUUCCAGGAGGAGUUGGUGGAUUUCCAGGGGGAGUUGGUGGAGUUCCAGGGGGAGUUGGUGGAGUUCCAGGAGGAGUUGGUGGAGUUCCAGGUGGAGUUGGUGGAGUUCCAGGAGGAAUUGGAGGAGUUAAACCGCCUAAAGUUUACAGCGGUACAGGUGGAACUGGAGCUCUUGGAGUUGGAGGUGUAGGUGGAAUGGGUCCAGCUGGAACAGGAGGAGCUGGACUUCUGCCUGGAGGUGGUGGUUUACUACCAGGAGGUGGAGAUGAAUAAAGUGUACUUAACAUUUACAUAAGAAUGUAAUUAGCUUGUGCCUUAGCUUGUGGGUUUGUAAAUCUAUUGUAGGUUAUGGAGGAGCUGGAGGUUUAGGAGCCGGUGGGAUCCAACCAGGGACUGGUAAAUAUUUUUCAGAUUAAAACAAAACACCACAUUCCUGAUAUUUUAUGU